rnacentral:ncRNA from 1 species
CGUCUUCAGGGCGGGGUGCGAUUCCCCACCGGCGGUAGGUGCGUUCGCGCACGAGCCCGCGAGCGCUUGGGUCGUCGGACCGGCACGCAGGUGCGGUUCGGGGACGCAAGGUCAGCAGAUCCGGUCCGAUGCCGGAGCCGACGGUAUAGUCCGGAUGAAAGAAGACG